rnacentral:rRNA from 1 species
UACGUAGGUGGCAAGCGUUGUCCGGAUUUAUUGGGUUUAAAGGGUGUGUAGGCGGUUGUUUAAGUUUGGUGUGAAAUCUCCCGGCUCAACCGGGAGGGUGCGCCGAAAACUGGAGGGCUAGAGUGCGGGAAGGGAGAGUAGAAUUCCUGGUGUAGCGGUGAAAUGCGUAGAUAUCAGGAGGAAUACCGGUGGUGUAGACGGCUCUCUGGACCGCGACUGACGCUGAGACACGAAAGCGUGGGUAGCAAACAGG